rnacentral:rRNA from 1 species
UACGUAGGGGGCAAGCGUUGUCCGGAUUUAUUGGGCGUAAAGAGCGUGUAGGCGGUCUGGUAGGUCCGUUGUGAAAACUCGAGGCUCAACCUCGAGACGCCGAUGGAAACCAUCAGACUAGAGUCCGGAAGAGGAGAGUGGAAUUCCUGGUGUAGCGGUGAAAUGCGCAGAUAUCAGGAAGAACACCCGUGGCUAAGGCGGCUCUCUAGUACGGUACUGACGCUGAGGCGCGAAGGCGUGGGGAGCGAACGGG